rnacentral:rRNA from 1 species
CCACACUGGAACUGAGACACGGUCCAGACUCCUACGGGAGGCAGCAGUGGGGAAUUUUGGACAAUGGGCGCAAGCCUGAUCCAGCCAUUCCGCGUGAGUGAAGAAGGCCUUCGGGUUGUAAAGCUCUUUCGCAAGAGAAGAAAACUUACUUUCUAAUAAAGAGUGAGGCUGCGGUAUCUUGAUAAGCACCGGCUAACUACGUGCCAGCAGCCGCGGUAAUACGUAGGGUGCGAGCGUUAAUCGGAAUUACUGGGCGUAAAGCGUGCGCAGGCUGUUUUGUUAGUCA